AACAUUGUAAUGUGAGCUUCGGGGCAAUUGAUCCCAUUAUAUUUCUCAAACUCUGGGGUCUUGAACUUGUGUGGAAGCACUAGAUCUAGAACCAGGCUCAAGUCUUUAGCAUCAAUUCCACAAUGGACCAGGGACAACAGGAUUUGCUAGAUUGUCUUCUGGGUUGGAGCCUGAACCUGUCGGGAAGCUUAUUGGUACUGAGGUACGUCUGAUAUUGGGGCCUGAUGUUAGUGGGCACCCUUUGUGGAUAUACAUUUGGUUGUGCUUGGGUGCUUGUUGGGGUAAAGCCUGGAGGAUAAGCAGGGUCCUCGUUAUCGUCCCCGAAAUUGACCAUAGGGAUCUUUCCUUUUUCUAGCCCUCCAGCCAGCAACUGGGUUAAUUGGUUCAUCAUAUUCUUUUGGGAUUCUAGCAUCUGAUCCCUCAUGUCUUGUUGAAUUUUGGCCAAUUAUUCUUGCAGUAUUUGCAGCUGAUCUUGCAUUUCUCUUUGAAUCUGUUCUAACCUUUCCAAUCUUUGGUCCAUUACUUUAGUUUUGGCGUGAGUACCGUAACGAUGUUUAAUUGAUAGACUUUUGUCGGUUUCCAGAUUAACUGAAAUAAUUUUUAAUUAAUUAGAGUCCUUUUGUGAAAUCUAAUGCAUAUAAUGUAAUGUAAUGCAAAUGCAUGAGAUAAAUACAAAAA